UUGAACGCUGGCGGCAUGCUUUACACCUGCAAGUCGAACGGUAACAGGCCUUCGGGUGCUGACGAGUGGCGAACGGGUGAGUAAUGCAUCGGAACGUACCCAGAGGUGGGGGAUAACGCAGCGAAAGCUGUGCUAAUACCGCAUGUGAUCUGAGGAUGAAAGCGGGGGACCGAGCAGCAAUGUUUGGCCUCGCGCCUUUGGAGCGGCCGAUGUCGGAUUAGCUAGUUGGUGGGGUAAAGGCUUACCAAGGCGACGAUCCGUAGCUGGUCUGAGAGGACGACCAGCCACACUGGGACUGAGACACGGCCCAGACUCCUACGGGAGGCAGCAGUGGGGAAUUUUGGACAAUGGGCGCAAGCCUGAUCCAGCAAUGCCGCGUGCGGGAAGAAGGCCUUCGGGUUGUAAACCGCUUUUGGCAGGAACGAAACGGUGUCCGCUAAUACCGGGCGCUAAUGACGGUACCUGCAGAAUAAGCACCGGCUAACUACGUG
rnacentral:rRNA from 1 species